CCUACGGGUGGCAGCAGUGAGGAAUAUUGGUCAAUGGACGGAAGUCUGAACCAGCCAUGCCGCGUGCAGGAAGACGGCUCUAUGAGUUGUAAACUGCUUUUGUACAAGGGUAAACCUGAAUACGUGUAUUCAGCUGAAAGUACUGUACGAAUAAGGAUCGGCUAACUCCGUGCCAGCAGCCGCGGUAAUACGGGGGAUGCGAGCGUUAUCCGGAUUUAUUGGGGUUAAGGGGUGCGCAGGUGGACUGUUAAGUCAGCGGGAAAAGCCCGGGGCUUAACCCCGGCGAGCCGUUGAAACUGGGUGUCUUGAGAAGUCGAGAGGUAUACGGAAUGCGCAGUGUAGCGGUGAAAUGCUUAGAUAUUGGGAAGAACUCCGGUUGCGAAGGCGGCAUGCCGGCGGCGAACUGACGCUGAGGCGCGAAAGCGUGGGUAUCGAACAGGAUUAGAUACCCGAGUAGUC
rnacentral:rRNA from 1 species